CCUACGGGUGGCUGCAGUGGGGAAUAUUGGACAAUGGGCGCAAGCCUGAUCCAGCAAUGCCGCGUGUGUGAAGAAGGCCUGCGGGUUGUAAAGCACUUUAAGCAGGAAAGAAGGGGUGAAAGUUAAUACCUUUCAUCAUUGACGUUACCUGCAGAAUAAGCACCGGCUAACUCCGUGCCAGCAGCCGCGGUAAUACGGAGGGUGCGAGGCUUAGGCGGAUUUACUGGGCGUACGUCACGGCUAGGCGGUUAACCUGGGAACUGCGGUGGAUACUGUCGGGCUAGAGUGUGGUAGAGGGGAGUGGAAUUUCCGGUGUAGCAGUGAAAUGCGUAGAGAUCGGAAGGAACACCAGUGGCGAAGGCGGCUCCCUGGACUAACACUGACGCUGAGGUGCGAAAGCGUGGGGAGCAAACAGGAUUAGAUACCCGAGUAGUC
rnacentral:rRNA from 1 species